rnacentral:rRNA from 1 species
CAGUAGCCGCGGGAAUACGUAGGGUGCAAGCGUUAAUCGGAAUUGCUGGGCGUAAAGCGUGCGCAGGUGGUUUUGUAAGUCUGUCGUGAAAUCCCCGGGCUCAACCUGGGAAUGGCGAUGGAGACUGCAAGGCUAGAAUCUGGCAGAGGGGGGUAGAAUUCCACGUGUAGCAGUGAAAUGCGUAGAUAUGUGGAGGAACACCGAUGGCGAAGGCAGCCCCCUGGGCUAAGAUUGACGCUCAUGCACGAAAGCGUGGGGAGCAAACAGGAUUAGAUACCCCCGUAGUCCCUGUCUCUUAUAC